GACGAACGCUGGCGGCGUGCUUAACACAUGCAAGUCGAACGGAAAGGCCUGCUUUCCCUUGUGGAUUGCGGGUACUCGCGUGGCGAACGGGUGAGUAACACGUGAGUGAUCUGCCCCCAACUUGGGUAUAAGCCUGGGAAACUGGGUCUAAUUCCCGAUAGGACUGCAGGGUGGUGCCUGUGGUGGAAAACGAUUUUCUAGUGGUUGGGGAUGAGCUCGCGGCCUAUCAGCUUGUUGGUGGGGUAAUGGCCUACCAAGGCGGCGACGGGUAGCCGGCCUGGGAGGGUGGACGGCCACAUUGGGACUGGGAUACGGCCCAGACUCCGACGGGAGGCAGCAGUGGGGAAUAUUGCACAAUGGGCGGAAGCCUGAUGCAGCGACGCCGCGUGGGGGAUGACGGCCUUCGGGUUGUAAACUCCUUUCGACCGCGAGGAAGCCACCUGGUUGGAAGGGUGGUGACGGUAGUGGUAGAAGAAGCACCGGCUAACUACGUG
rnacentral:rRNA from 1 species